rnacentral:rRNA from 1 species
GACGGGACCCGCACAAGCGGUGGAUGAUGUGGUUUAAUUCGAUGCAACGCGAAAACCUUACCCACCUUUGACAUGGCAGGAAUCCUAAAGAGAUUUGGGAGUGCUCGAAAGAGAACCUGCACACAGGUGCUGCAUGGCUGUCGUCAGCUCGUGUCGUGAGAUGUUGGGUUAAGUCCCGCAACGAGCGCAACCCUUGCCAUUAGUUGCUACGAAAGGGCACUCUAAUGGGACUGCCGGUGACAAACCGGAGGAAGGUGGGGAUGACGUCAAGUCCUCAUGGCCCUUAUAGGUGGGGCUACACACGUCAUACAAUGGCCGGUACAGAGGGUAGCCAACCCGCGAGGGGGAGCCAAUCCCAUAAAGCCAUUCGUAGUCCGGAUCGCAGUCUGCAACUCGACUGCGUGAAGUCGGAAUCGCUAGUAAUCGUGGAUCAGAAUGUCACGGUGAAUACGUUCCCGGGUCUU